GGCAGGAAUAUUUUGCUCCAAAAUUUUUUUUUUUUGGUGUUGCUGAAACCUCAUUGUAUUUGGUUUGGCCCAUCUUUUCCCCUUCCACCAUCUUCCACUAAGCAUUUAAUUUACCUCAUCAUCUUCCAAUCAUGCGUACAUAUCAUGAAGCUAAAAAUUUUUGCUUGCUUUAAAGCUGGGUUAUUUUCCUGCAGAAAUUUGGAUUUCUAUGUCUGUAUUGAGCAAAUUUGCUUACAGUUUAUCCUUGGGAUUUGUUUUUGAUUUUCAUUCAAGAGAUUAUGUAGUGGGAGUUGGCAGGGUAGAAGCUUUCUGCAGCUUGGGUUGAAGUAUGCCUGUAAUAUAUAUGUAUGGAUCAAUUUGUUAACAUGGCAGUCCCAAUAUUUAGUUCUGUUAUGUGAUUUGUUGUUUAGUAUCAAUGCAGGCCUAUCAAAUUUAAGAUUUAGAGGAUAAUUUGGCUUAUAUGUGAUCUGGAACAGUGGUAGCAUUUUAGGGGAGGGUAUUCAUGCUUUUUUUUUAAUGGUGUAUUGAGAGAUGAUCAUUGAUCUGGCUGCCUGGCCCAAUAACAUAUUUGGUUAGGCUUGGACUAGUAUAGGCUGGUGUGUUCCAGAGCCUGACUGGAUUUUUUACUUGAUUUUGUGUGGUUGGGUUUAGCUGGACAUUGGGUCUCUAUGGCUGCGCGUAGCCUGGUCUGCAUAACUAAGACGUGGAGUAUGAUUGUACUGCAAACUAGUCCAAAAUUGAAAUGCGUGUGUUGCUCUUGUGGCCGUGUUAUACUGCAUUGUGCCUGAAUAUUAUAGGAAUAAAAGGAAAAAGAGUUGUGAAUAAUGCAAUUUGGGGUUAGACAGAAGGGAAAAGGAGGUAAAAUAGAUGGAGCCAAGGGCAAGAUUGUUUCAUGGAUAAUUACUUUUAACAAUACCAUCAUUAAAUUUGUUUGGAGUCUUGUCCACUCUAUAGAUAAGUACAAGGCCAUGCAAAGGAGAAAAUUUUUACUUUGGUAUUUUGACCAUGUAUUUUAUAAUAACAGCUAAGAACCAAGUGUCAGAUUGGGAGUAAUUGCCCAUCUCUUACAGGGAUCUCUGGUGAAAGUUAGAGAUUUCUGAGAAACUGUCCAGCAAUAUGUUUUAUUUGAGUCAUGUCUUUUUUGGCUGCUAUUAUUUUGCUAUCGUUUCCAUCUCAUCUUGGCAUCUCUUUUAUAAUGGUAAAUUAUCAUGUACACAAUAAGAUUUUGAAUAUAUAUU
rnacentral:misc_RNA from 1 species